rnacentral:rRNA from 1 species
AGAACGAACGCUGGCGGCAUGCCUAACACAUGCAAGUCGAACGCCUGUAGCAAUACAGGAGUGGCGCACGGGUGAGUAACGCGUGGGAACCUACCCUGGAGUGGGGGAUAACCGAGAGAAAUUUCGGCUAAUACCGCAUACGACCUGAGGGUGAAAGAUUUAUCGCUCUAGGAGGGGCCCGCGUCGGAUUAGCUAGUUGGUGGGGUAACGGCCUACCAAGGCAACGAUCCGUAGCUGGUCUGAGAGGAUGAUCAGCCACACUGGGACUGAGACACGGCCCAGACUCCUACGGGAGGCAGCAGUGGGGAAUAUUGGACAAUGGGGGCAACCCUGAUCCAGCAAUGCCGCGUGAGUGAUGAAGGCCUUAGGGUUGUAAAGCUCGUUUCGGCGGGGACGAUGAUGACGGUACCCGCAGAAGAAGCCCCGGCUAACUUCGCGCCAGCAGCCGC